rnacentral:rRNA from 1 species
AUUGAACGCUGGCGGCAUGCUUUACACAUGCCAGUCGAACGGCAGCGCGGGCUUCGGCCUGGCGGCGAGUGGCGAACGGGUGAGUAAUGCAUCGGAACGUGCCCAGUAGUGGGGGAUAGCCCGGCGAAAGCCGGAUUAAUACCGCAUACGACCUGAGGGUGAAAGCGGGGGACCGAAAGGCCUCGCGCUAUUGGAGCGGCCGAUGUCGGAUUAGCUAGUUGGUGGGGUAAAGGCUUACCAAGGCGACGAUCCGUAGCUGGUCUGAGAGGACGACCAGCCACACUGGGACUGAGACACGGCCCAGAUUCCUACGGGAGGCAGCAGUGGGGAAUUUUGGACAAUGGGGGCAACCCUGAUCCAGCCAUGCCGCGUGCGGGAAGAAGGCCUUCGGGUUGUAAACCGCUUUUGUUCGGGAAGAAAUCCUCUGGGCUAAUACCCCGGGGGGAUGACGGUACCGGAAGAAUAAGCACCGGCUAACUACGUG